rnacentral:rRNA from 1 species
CCUACGGGUGGCUGCAGUGAGGAAUAUUGGUCAAUGGACGACAGUCUGAACCAGCCAAGUAGCGUGAAGGAUGACUGCCCUAUGGGUUGUAAACUUCUUUUAUAUGGGAAUAAAAUGUUCCACGUGUGGGAUUUUGUAUGUACCAUAUGAAUAAGGAUCGGCUAACUCCGUGCCAGCAGCCGCGGUAAUACGGAGGAUCCGAGCGUUAUCCGGAUUUAUUGGGUUUAAAGGGAGCGUAGGUGGAUUGUUAAGUCAGUUGUGAAAGUUUGCGGCUCAACCGUAAAAUUGCAGUUGAAACUGGCAGUCUUGAGUACAGUAGAGGUGGGCAGAAUUCGUGGUGUAGCGGUGAAAUGCUUAGAUAUCACGAAGAACUCCGAUUGCGAAGGCAGUUCACUGGACUGCAACUGACACUGAGGCUCGAAAGUGUGGGUAUCAAACAGGAUUAGAUACCCGUGUAGUC